GAAUUGAAGAGUUUGAUCAUGGCUCAGAUUGAACGCUGGCGGCAGGCUUAACACAUGCAAGUCGAACGGUAGCAGGAAGAAAGCUUGCUUUCUUUGCUGACGAGUGGCGGACGGGUGAGUAAUGCUUGGGAAUCUGGCUUAUGGAGGGGGAUAACUGUGGGAAACUGCAGCUAAUACCGCGUAAUCUCUGAGGAG
rnacentral:rRNA from 1 species